rnacentral:rRNA from 1 species
AACGAACGCUGGCGGCGUGCCUAACACAUGCAAGUCGAGCGCGAAAAGAGCAAUCUGAGUAGAGCGGCGCACGGGUGCGUAACACGUGGGUAAUCUGCCUCGAGGUCUGGGAUAACCUUCCGAAAGGUUGGCUAAUACCAGUUAAGCUCACGGUGACUUCGGUCACUGAGAGAAAAGGGGCCCGAAAGGGUCUCGCCACGAGAUGAGCCCGCGGCCCAUCAGCUAGNGGUGAGGUAACGGCCCACCAAGGCUACGACGGGUAGCUGGUCUGAGAGGACGAUCAGCCACACUGGAACUGAGACACGGUCCAGACUCCUACGGGAGGCAGCAGUGGGAAUUUUGCACAAUGGGCGAAAGCCUGAUGCAGCAACGCCGCGUGUGUGAUGAAGGUCUUCGGAUCGUAAAGCACUUUCGACCGGACGAA